GAUGAACGCUGGCGGCGUGCCUAAUACAUGCAAGUCGAGCGAACGGACGAGAAGCUUGCUUUUCUGAUGUUAGCGGCGGACGGGUGAGUAACACGUGGAUAACCUACCUAUAAGACUGGGAUAACUUCGGGAAACCGGAGCUAAUACCGGAUAAUAUUUUGAACCGCAUGGUUCAAAAGUGAAAGACGGUCUUGCUGUCACUUAUAGAUGGAUCCGCGCUGCAUUAGCUAGUUGUUAAGGUAACGGCUUACCAAGGCAACGAUGCAUAGCCGACCUGAGAGGGUGAUCGGCCACACUGGAACUGAGACGCGGUCAAGACUCCUACGGGAGGCAGCAGUAGGGAAUCUUCCGCAAUGGGCGAAAGCCUGACGGAGCAACGCCGCGUGAGUGAUGAAGGUCUUCGGAUCGUAAAACUCUGUUAUUAGGGAAGAACAUAUGUGUAAGUAACUGUGCACAGCUUGACGGUACCUAAUCAGAAAGCCACGGCUAACUACGUG
rnacentral:rRNA from 1 species